UAAUACGUAGGGGGCGAGCGUUGUCCGGAAUUAUUGGGCGUAAAGAGCUCGUAGGCGGUUCCUUAAGUCGGGUGUGAAAUCUCAGGGCUCAACUCUGAAACUGCACCCGAUACUGGGGAACUUGAGGCAGGUAGGGGAGAUCGGAAUUCCUGGUGUAGCGGUGAAAUGCGCAGAUAUCAGGAGGAACACCGGUGGCGAAGGCGGAUCUCUGGGCCUGUUCUGACGCUGAGGAGCGAAAGCGUGGGGAGCAAACAGGAUUAGAUACCCUGGUAGUCCACGCUGUAAACGAUGGGUGCUAGGUGUGGGAGAUAAUCCACUUCUUCCGUGCCGCAGCUAACGCAUUAAGCACCCCGCCUGGGGACUACGGCCGCAAGGCUA
rnacentral:rRNA from 1 species